rnacentral:rRNA from 1 species
UACGGAGGGUGCAAGCGUUAUCCGGAUUUACUGGGUUUAAAGGGUGCGUAGGCGGGCAGGUAAGUCAGAGGUGAAAUCUCCGAGCUUAACUCGGAAACUGCCUUUGAUACUAUUUGUCUUGAAUAUUGUGGAGGUAAGCGGAAUAUGUCAUGUAGCGGUGAAAUGCUUAGAUAUGACAUAGAACACCUAUUGCGAAGGCAGCUUACUACGCAUAUAUUGACGCUGAGGCACGAAAGCGUGGGGAUCAAACAGG